UCACAGAUGGGAACGUCUCCACUCCAUGUCAGAUCCCACUGGCACAUCAGGAUCUCUGAGCCCUGCAGACGGAAACCUGGGUAACACUGGACUUUUGUGGACUCGAGCAGACCAGUUUGUGGAAAGUUAAUGAGGGUCUGUCCGACUGGACCCCGGAGAGACAGUAUUGUGAAUACAAGCUUCUCUUGUGUGUAUAAUCAGUCAGACCCAGGAAAAGUCUGAAAAGAACCAGGACCGCAGUUCCCUGUAGGAGUCCUGAUGCCUGAACCUUACACCUCUAAUGACCAAUUCUCCUUCUGACAGAGCAGACCAGGUGCCACUUCAGCUAUUUGAGCUCAUUUGUUAUAGAGCGGUUAUGCAUUGAAUGAACCGUGUGAACUCCAAACUGUCAGUCGGAUUCUCAACCGUACUGCUGGUCAUAUUUUUUGUGAAUUCACUAUAUUUAAGGUUUACUCACACCAAGAGCUAGAUGAAAUAUUUUCACAUUGGGCAAAGCCAAAAUAUUGGUUCAAUGCAUCUUCUAGACAU